GUUUGAUUAUGGCUCAGAUUGAACGCUGGCGGCGUGCUUAACACAUGCAAGUCGCGCGUGAAAGGACUUCGGUCCGAGUAAGCGGCGGCACGGGUGAGUAACGGCGUGGAUGAUCUACCCAUGAGUUAGGAAGUAACGGCUGGAAACGGUCGCUAAUACCAAAUACGCUCCGAUUUCAACUUCGGGGGAAAGGUGGCCUCUGCUUGCAAGCUACUGCUCAUGGAUGAGUCCGCGUCCCAUUAGCGUAGUUGGUGGGGUAACGGCCCACCAAGGCGACGAUGGGUAGCCGGUCUGAGAGGAUGACCGGCCACACUGGGACUGGAACACGGCCCAGACUCCUACGGGAGGCAGCAGUGGGGAAUAUUGCGCAACGGGCGAAAGCCUGACGCAGCGACGCCGCGUGAGGGAAUGAAGGUCCUCGGAUCGUAAACCUCUGUCAGGAGGGAAGAACCGCCACGGUGCUAAUCAGCCGUGGUCUGACGGUACCUCCAAAGGAAGCACCGGCUAACUCCGUGCCAGCCGCCGC
rnacentral:rRNA from 1 species